rnacentral:rRNA from 1 species
CCUACUGGAGGCAGCAGUGGGGGAUAUUGCACAAUGGGGGAAACCCUGAUGCAGCAACGCCGCGUGAGUGAUGACGGCCUUCGGGUUGUAAAGCUCUUUCUUCAGGGACGAUAAUGACGGUACCUGCGGAGGAAUCCACGGCUACCUCCGUGCCAGCAGCCGCGGUACUACGUAGGUGGCGAGCGUUGUCCGGAUUUACUGGGCGUAAAGGGAGCGUAGGCGGACUUUUAAGUGAGAUGUUAAAUACUCGGGCUCAACUUGAGUGCUGCAUUUCAAACUGGAAGUCUAGAGUGCAGGAGAGGAGAAUGGAAUUCCUAGGGUAGCGUUGAAAUGCGUAGAGAUUAGGAAGAACACCAGUGGCGAAGGCGAUUCGCUGGACUGUAACUGACGCUGAGGCUCGAAAGCGUGGGGAGCAAACAGGAUUAGAUACCCGGGUAGUC